ACCCGCUGAACUUAAGCAUAUCAAUAAGCGGAGGAAAAGAAACCAACAGGGAUUGCCCUAGUAACGGCGAGUGAAGCGGCAACAGCUCAAAUUUGAAAUCUGGCUCUUUUAGAGUCCGAGUUGUAAUUUGCAGAGGGCGCUUUGGCUUUGGCAGCGGUCCAAGUUCCUUGGAACAGGACGUCACAGAGGGUGAGAAUCCCGUACGUGGUCGCUGGCUAUUGCCGUGUAAAGCCCCUUCGACGAGUCGAGUUGUUUGGGAAUGCAGCUCUAAAUGGGAGGUACAUUUCUUCUAAAGCUAAAUAUUGGCCAGAGACCGAUAGCGCACAAGUAGAGUGAUCGAAAGAUGAAAAGCACUUUGGAAAGAGAGUCAAACAGCACGUGAAAUUGUUGAAAGGGAAGCGCUUGCAGCCAGACUUGCUUACAGUUGCUCAUCCGGGUUUUUACCCGGUGCACUCUUCUGUAGGCAGGCCAGCAUCAGUUUGGGCGGUAGGAUAAAGGUCUCUGUCACGUACCUCCUUUCGGGGAGGCCUUAUAGGGGAGACGACAUACUACCAGCCUGGACUGAGGUCCGCGCAUCUGCUAGGAUGCUGGCGUAAUGGCUGUAAGCGGCCCGUCUUGAAACCACGGACCA
rnacentral:rRNA from 1 species